CCUACGGGAGGCAGCAGUGGGGAAUAUUGCACAAUGGGGGAAACCCUGAUGCAGCGACGCCGCGUGAGUGAAGAAGUAUUUCGGUAUGUAAAGCUCUAUCAGCAGGAACGAGACAAGACGGUACCUGACUCAGAAGCCCCGGCUAACUACGUGCCAGCAGCCGCGGUAAUACGUAGGGGGCAAGCGUUAUCCGGAAUCACUGGGUGUAAAGGGAGCGUAGACGGCUGUGCAAGCCUGAAGUGAAAGGCGGGGGCCCAACCCCUGGACUGCUUUGGGAACUGUACGGCUGGAGUGCAGGAGAGGUAAGUGGAAUUCCUAGUGUAGCGGUGAAAUGCGUAGAUAUUAGGAGGAACACCAGUGGCGAAGGCGGCUUACUGGACUGUAACUGACGUUGAGGCUCGAAAGCGUGGGGAGCAAACAGGAUUAGAUACCCCAGUAGUC
rnacentral:rRNA from 1 species